CAUAAAUUAAAUUUUUGCAGUCUGGCUGAGAUUUCAUUGAAACGCAGCCAAGACAGCGCGAACAAGGUAGAGGAAAUCAACUUGAGAGAUUGCUCAAAGAUUAAGCACACUUGCACACACACAUUCGAUUAUAAAGUGCGUUCGCAGUUGUAGGAGCCGAAGGUUUUAAUUAAAUUAUUUGACACUUCAUAAGUCAAUCAGAUAUCUGACUUUAUGAUGUCAUGGAAUUUAACAACUUGGAAUGAAUGCACCUUAUGGUGCAAGAGGAAAGUUUCCAGCACAAUUGGAUAGUAAUAAAAGUGCUAGAAAAGAUAGAUAGAUUCUUUAAAGAUAAUAUUCUGCAUAAAUUUAUCUACACAAUUCGAAACGCCAUAAAUCUUUGGGAUACCCCCAAAAAUUGUUUACUUCAACGAUCCAAACGAUUGCAUACAAAUGCGCUGUUUACACCGAAUGGCACCAUCUAUAUGCAUAUGUCCCAUAUGUUAGCACGUGCAGCAAUGCACUUGACCAUUGCCACCAUAGAAUGCAGAAUGCUAUCGAAAUCUUUGGGAUUUUAACCCAAAUACAACCGAUACCCAACUGCUGUAGCUUUAGUUAAGUAGGACUGUAAGGCAGUUGGGGCUUAAACAGCUGUUUCAGCUGCUUAUGAGCUAACCUUACCCACAAAACGUAAACAAGUGCAGCGUGGGGAGAACAACAACAACAACAGCAAAAUGCUAAAUCGACUCUGACCCACUGACAUUAUUUCGCCGACAUAGACGGCAAAAAAAAAAAGCAGCAACAACUGCGAAGAGUGCAUUCAGUCGGCAGGUGAAACACUCGAAAUGCGAGACUCAGAGCGGGGCAUUACAAAAAGUGCCGGAAAGAGAGACUUCUGGUCUAUAAGGUCGUGGAGGUGGGGCGUCUAUGGAGGAGGAAGGCCGGCGAUUGCAUAGUCGUUCGGCCGGUCGCUCAUUAGAUGUUAUCAUCCAUGUUUUUGCCGUAGUUACUGUCUAUUGAAUCAUUCAGUUACAGUUCUGAUAUAAUAGAGCCCCGUUCUGGUUCACUCAGAUCAAAUAAAUUGCCUGGCAAGUUAAAUGGUGAUUACUGGCCUGGGGAAAUGGGCUUCGAAAUGGUAGCAAUUUUAGCUAUUAAAGCGACCAUUUGAUUGGUAUUCUAUUAAAACGCUGAAUUUGUUUAUAACUAUGUAUUCACUUUGAUUUUGGAAUUUCUCUUAGUUAUGCAAAGUAGAAUUGUAUUCAUUGUACUUAACUAUAAAAUAAAUUAAAUUAAAGUAGGUGUUUAUAAUCUGAGUUUCUUUGAAAAUUCGUGUGCCAACAAAUUUUCAUAAACCGUUUAAUUUUACAACUAUUUUUAUUGCACAAAUGGGCCUUCGCCUUUCACAAAGUUAUUUAGCAGUGUUAUUUUGACGCCAUUCAAUGGAAAGUGAAAACUGUCAAUGCCUGAAUUGGCAAUUAGUCAGUGAAAGUGUAGCAGAUGGCACCAGUCUUUCGCCGCCACCUUUCUCGUGGCGCUCUUUGAUGGGGCAAUUAAAGUGGCUAAACGCACAAGCGAAAGACAUAAUAAAAAAUAAAUAAAAAAUAAUUUAAGUAUGUGUCACAUAAAUCAAUGCCAAUUAAUUGAAUCGCUCGAUUGAAACUGAUUCAUUGAGUCGAAAAUAAGCAUUGAACGAGAUAAACUAACAAACUGAAUUGCAUAUAAUCUUGAAAAAAGAAUACGCAUUUUUCAAACAUUUUUAUAUCCUAAUUGGGCACUUAAUUUAUAUUCCCCAACUUUGUUUUCAAGUUCAAAAAUAUUGUGGAAAUAAAUUUAAGCUGCUCCCAAGCGAAAUAGACUACCAGCCGAAACCUGAAUCAUACAAUUUAUCAAAUAUCAACAAAGUGUAUAUAGAGAAAAAUAUAUAAAAAAUCAGCAAGCAGCCGCAGUAAUAACAACAAAAACAACGGCGAGCGGCAAUCGAAAUACACUUGAACCAAUGACUGUAGCCGAGAGCGACCCACAAACAGACUCAGACUGAGAGCAUUGUGUCUCUUCGAGCGGAGAGACCCGAACCGAGCGAACAUAUGUUUUAUUCACACCAUUCACACAAUUAGUUUGCUAAAAAUGCAGGCUUACCCACACAGAAGUCUGAAAAACACAGCAGCAGCAGCGGCAGCUGAGCAAAUGGGGCUUUCGAGGUGUACGAGAAGCGGUGGGGAUGUCAGCUAGACCAGACUAGACUUAGUUAACUUGGCUUAAACAAGUGCACAGGUCUCUGCUCGGCGAACGAGGCAGCGCACACAGCUGAGACCAGUCAAGAAAAACUCUGGCGACAAAAAAAUGAGAGACGAGUUUAACUAAAGUUACAUGUGCUCAAUUAUAGUUAAAAUACAAUAAAACACACAACUUAAAACCUUAAAUGCAGGAAAACUACAGAUAUGUGUCAGUCAUGUUGAAAACCUUCGGGAAUUCCCCAAAAUAUGAUAACCUUACCUCGAAAGUCAACCCGCACAUUUGGUUUAGUCAGAAUGAAUCAGCAUUUGUGCCACUGAAAUGCCAUAGAAACUCCAUUCCGCAUGCACAAAUAAGCCGAAAAAAAAUAUUUACAAAUUGUAUUUGUUUUUGAGGGUGAUAUCAAUUUGCAAUUGAUGUCAAGGAUACUGUGCGGUAUGCGGAAGUGAAUCGAAAUGUGAGUCAGGUAAAUGAGAUCACAAACAAAUAGAAGAUAUCCCAGGUUGAGAUCUCUUAUAUUAAAUAAUUAGUACAUUUUUAAAACAAUCCCCAUUUUUCAGCUAAAAAUUCACUUGCUUGUAGUACUUUUUUUUACUCAAGUAUUUUCCUCUUUGAAUUCCAAAUUCCAAGUUUGAGGCGACAGGCCAAACAUCACGUAUACCCCCAAAAAACCCACAAAAAUCAAAACAAUUUUUUGAGCUUUGCCCC